UGGCGCGAUCUCGGUUCACGCAACCUCCGCCUCACCGUUCCAGCGAUUCUCCUGCGUCAGCCUAUCUUUCUUCUUUAUUCUGAUUUUCUUCAUGGUAUUGUUAGUUUAAUAGUUUAUUGAAUUAAAGGCAUAGUUUAACUAUUUUGUCUUUUUUUUUUUUUUUCCAUACAGGAUCUGACAGACUGGAGUGCAGUAGCGGGAUCUCGGCUCAGUGUAGCCAAGAACUCCUGGCCUCAAGCGAUCCUGCCGCCUGGGCCUCUGGAGUAGCUGAGUAGCUGGAACAACAGGCGGCGCCCCCCCCCCCCCCCCCCCGCCCCAGCGAAUUGUUGCUAUUGUUGUUUUGUAGAUACCGGGUUUCCCUAUGUUGCCCAGGCUGGUCUCUAACUCCUGGCCUCAAGCGAUCCUCCCGCCUAGUUCUCCCCAAGUGUUGGGAUUACAGGCGUGAGCCACCGAGCCCCACCUUGCCAUUUUGUCGUUGUUGUUGUUGGAAUUAUGGUUUACACACAGCAACGUGCAAAUAUCUUAGAUGUACAGCUUAUGUGACCACCACCACUUCAGAUACAGAACAUUUUCAGCACACCAGAGUUUCCCUCAGGCAAAAGAAAACAGAGGCGAUCACUGUUCUUUUACCACCAUAGGUUGGUUUUGCUUAUUCUUGAACAUCAUUUUAAAACGGCACGUAGGCCGGGCGCAGUGGCUCAUGCCUAAUCCCAACACUAUUGGGAGGCCGAGGUGCUCAGAUCGCUUGAGCCCAGGAGUUUGAGACCAGGAGGUGGAAGCUGCGGUGAGCUGUGAUUACACCACCAUAUUCUACUCUGGGUGACAGAGUGAGACCUUGUCUCAAAAAAAAAAAAAAAAAAAAAAAGCUGGGUGUGGGGAGUGGUUAUCCUUGAGGAGAACUAACUGGGAAAGAGAACAAAGGACUCUUCUAAGAUGCUGGAUAUGGCCAGGCACAGUGGCUCAUGCCUGUAAUCCCAGCACUUUGGGAGGCGGAGGUGGGCAGGAGUUUGAAACCAGCCUGGCCAACAUGGGGAAACCCUGUCUCUACUAGAAAUACAAAAACUAGCUGGGCAUGCUGGCAGGCACCUGUAAUCCCAGCUACUCGGGAGGCUGAGACAGGAGAAUCGCUUGAAUUCAGGAGGUGGCGGUUGUAGUGAGCCGGAGGUUGCACCAUUGCACUCCAACCUGGGCAACAGAGUAAGACUCCGUCUCAAAGAAAAAAAAAGAUACUGGAUAUGUUCUCUACAUUAUCUUGAUCUGGGUGGUAGUUAUGGAGCAUUUUCAGGGGCACCACUAACCUUUGUGCCAAGAAGAAAACGAAGCCUCUCCUGGACAGACACAACCUAUUAGGCCCAGAACUUGGAAAGCUGCCUGAUGCUGUUAAAAGUUAUUCAAUAAUACUUGUUAAAGGACAGUAAGCAAGACUUUAUCUGGGACCAUCAAGAUGGGUAUAGGAACCACUGUAAUGGGAUUUUGCUAUAGGGGAGAGAGAUUGGACUCAACUCUAAAUACAGCAUGGGCAAGGGGGAAUUUACAGCCAAGAAGCAGGGUGGAGGUCAGUGGAUGGAAAAUUACUAAGAGGAGUAAGGGGGAUUCUGGCCAAACCCACCUAACAGGACUCUUGCUGAAGACAGGCCAAGGUGACCCAACAUCAGCUGGAGGAUGAUGGGGGAUGAGAAACCUAAUCAGAUAUUGAAGAUGAUCAGAUAUCAAGAUACAGGGUUCUGGCUAAAAUCACUUAGAAGAGUUCUUUUGCUAAAACUGGAUUUAUAAGGAAGUGCACAGAUGGGCCUCUGGAGAAGGUUCAGAAGCCUGACUGAAGUUUGUCCAAGCAAAGAAUCUUUGUCAAUGCCUCUGAGUGAAUUAGAAAACAAAAAUCCCUUCUUCCUGUGCAGCCCUAUGUGGUAGUCCUGAGUGUUUACUAAGCACCAGGCACUGUGCUGAGAUGAACUUUGCAAACUUUGUCUAACAGCCUUCACAAAAAGGCAAGCACUUUUAUUGUCCACAUUUUUCUGCUGAGAAAAUUGAGGGUGAGUGUAAGUAACUCACUCAGGGUCACACAGCUAGCAAGUGGUAGAGCUCAAAACAAAAGGAUGGAUAAUGACCUCAGAUGUCCUGAACUUCUUCCCACAUCCACUGAACUCACCAGAGUCUCCCCCCACCACCUCCCAAACUACAUCCUCAGGGCAGCAAGAGUGAUUUUAACUCUUUAUUGCUAUACUCAUGUAUAUCACGUACAUGUAGAAUUCAAAUAAUAAGAAGAAUGUCCAACUAUGACAAGAAAUGGAGCUUUAUCAAUUUCUCUGAUGUGCCCCAUCAUCCCCUCACCGCUCCUCAAGAGGACGAGUGGCCACACCCAGGGUGUAGGGAAACCCGUUGCUUGGUCCUA
rnacentral:lncRNA from 1 species